UACGGAGGGUGCGAGCGUUGUUCGGAAUUACUGGGCGUAAAGCGCGUGUAGGCGGCGAUUUAAGUCUGGUGUGAAAGCCCGGGGCUUACCCCCGGAAGUGCACUGGAUACUGGGUCGCUAGAGUACUGGAGAGGAGGGUGGAAUUCCUGGUGUAGCGGUGAAAUGCGUAGAGAUCGGGAGGAACACCAGAGGCGAAGGCGGCGACCUGGACAGUGACUGACACUCAACUACGAAAGCGUGGGGAGCAAACAGG
rnacentral:rRNA from 1 species